UUUGAUUAGGACAUUAAAGAGUGUUUUAGAUUAGUUAUUGUAGUUACUCACAAUAUUUUCUAUGUUUUAACUUUAUGGUCAGUUUUAUUUACAUUUCUCAUCGAAUUAAGACCAGGAAUUUACACGCUUAAAUAUUAAAUGAACAUCAAAGUUCUUGAUAAAACAUUAGAAGAAUGAUACAAAAUAAAUACAAAUGUGUAUAAUCUUCGGAAGAUGAUGAACAGGAUUGUGUAGUUGAAGGAGCAGGGAUAUUACAAUGGACUUGGCGUACAUGUCUAUCUAAAGUAUGUAUGGUUUUAAAGGUUUUAUAACAAAAUUGACACGAAUUAGGAUAAAUGGCUCGUGGCUCUUUGUCAUGCUGUCUCCUGAAGUGUCGAUAUAAAGAGCUACGAGCUGUAAACGUGGUUUUGCAUUCACUACAAGCAAAGUCCAUGUUGGUUUAUUGGAUAAAUUACAAAUAAAAUAGAUAUCGAGAA